rnacentral:ncRNA from 1 species
GCGUAGAGAAAGCACUGCGUUGCAUGCUACUGAGCAUUACUGAUAGACCCGAAAGGUGGUGACUUUGCCUGCACAGGUUGAGUCAGGGGAAACUCUGAUGGAGGACCGUACGGGUUAUUGAUGUGCAAAUCAUUUUUCUGAUGUAGGUAAAGGUGCGAAAGACUCAUCGAACCACCUAAUAGCUGGUUUCCUCCGAAGUUUCCCUCAGGAUAGCUGUAAUGCAUUUAGUUAAGGGGAGUAGAGAUAUGGGUAGAGGUGCAGGGAGCCUUCGGGUUCUCAACUUAUUUCCAAACUUCGAACCUCCUUGUUAGGCAUUUACCUAACUGGAAAUGCUUAAAUGAAUUAGCGUUACAAGUGGGCUCUGACCGGUAAGCGGUCAUGGCGAAAUGGGAUGAACCAUACGUCUGAAUAAGGUGCCGAAAUGUACUAUCACUGAUACCAUAAAGGGAGUCCAUGUAUUUAGACAGCAGGUCGGUGCCCCUAAAAGCAGGUAUCCGCUAAAGAGUGUGUUAAAACUCACCUGCCGAAUACUAGGGCCCCGAAAAUGAAUGGCGCAUAUAGUACUACCGAUCUCAGACAUCAGUUCUAUUGAACUGAGAGUAGGGGGAUGUGGACAUUUUUGUGAAGGUGCAAUGUGAGUUGGACUGGAAGAAUGUCUAUUACAGAUCCUAAUUGAAGUAGCGAUUAUCCAGGCUUGUAUCCUGGGGGCUGAUGAGGAGUAGGGUUUCUGGACAACUUAAACAGAUCCAGAGUUAGUCGAUCCUAAUCUCAAUAAUGGGAGAAAGGGAGUACAGUUGAUAUUCUGUAACUGACAACAGUUCGCGGCAACGCAUACUAUUUUUCUCCGCCAAUCUUAUACCGUUGGUAGGGAUCUCUUUCCUACAUGACAGUACUAAUACCCAGGGAAACUGGUCAUCAGGCGAACUGCGGCGUUCUGCUGGCAAAACAUAGCUUCGGUUAUGUCAAUGGCUAUUGGAUUGGUCCAUGAAGCGAAAAAUAGUUUACUGUGUCACUCGUACCGAUAACCGCAUCAGGUCUUCUAGGUAAGUAGCCUAUGGCCAUUGAGGCAUGAUAGUUCAGGGAAUUCGGCCAAUUAGAGCUGUAACUUCGGGAUAAAGCUUG